UAUAGGAGUUUCAGGUUAUACUGCUUGCCAAUUCACCACUAUAUUAAAGACUUUAUUUUAUUUUAUUUUAUUUUUGGCAUAAAAAAAGUCUGGUAUAUAUCUGGUUAAUGAUCUUAUGUUUGCUGGUGAAUUCGUUAUCUAGUCACUGCUUUCUUUAUUUCAUCACUGUAAAGCAAAUGCUAAUCUUGUAGGAAUUCUUCUACCAUUAUUGACUUAUGACUAAUUUUAUGACUCAUAAGAUCUUGUUCCAUUAUGUCACUCCUUUCGACUGUUUUCUGCCCCUGCUAACCUGGAGUGGUCUUGUUCAUUUUAAGAAUAUGGAUACAAAGUUUUACCCUGGCUCAUCUUGUAAUCACAAGUCAUUUGGGAGAAAUUUGUCCAUUAAUGUUCAAGUAACUAGAAGGUUCAGCUACGUUGAUCUUAUGGUUGACUUCCCCUGCAACAGAGAUAGUUUUUCAAGUUAUAUAGACCCCACUUUGUGAUCUGAGAUGGGUCGCUCAAAUUAUACCUAUUAUAUGGAGAGGGUGGAACUUUUUUAAGGUCAAUGGAAUUGGGAUAGACAGUCUAUACAAACGUAAGCUGCCACUCAUGAGACUUUUUCAUGUUUGCUAGGGUUGUCCUUUAACUCAAUGCUGGUGCUGGUAUAUGCUUUGAGAUUUUUGGUUUGGUUGGAGUAGCUUAUUGUUUCCCCAAAAAAAAAAAAAGGAGUUGAAACUUAAAUUACCUAUAUGUAAAGUAUGAGAGGUUGUUUUCUAGUUUAAGGUGUAAAUACUUAUUCUUGUGUAUGUGUUUUCUUGAUCAUUAUGGUUGAAUCCUAACAUGUUUCCUAUCUUGUUUGUCAUUUAUGUGGAGGCUGCGAAUAUCGUUUGCUCAAGUAUUCAGCCUUACCAGAAUAUAUCUAUUCUUGUAAGAAGAAGUGCUCUAUGGAUUUUCAUUGACAUAUGGUCAUUCGUGCAUGUCUCAAAUAUUAACCAUAAGAAAUCAUGUUUGAUUUCCUUUAUCUAUGCAGAAAUUUAUGAAAGAAAAAUUGGGUCCUGAUGCAGAUUUUGCUUGGGCUCGAGAUCAAAUUCGAAGAGGCUUUGCUGGUAAGCCUUUAAAUUUCCUUUGCAACAACAAUUAUAGUACUAAUUCUGUUACUUGAGAAGAAUCACUAUAUCACCCUUCUGGCUUACCAAGAUAUACCUUCUCAACUUAUCUUCAACUAUUUAAGAGUGUCUAUUCUGCUAUUUCCUGACAAAGGUUACACGAAAUUAGUUGUUAAGAGACUGAGGAGCGCAAAAUAUAUAUAAAAUCAAUGGGUUUGGUUCUGCUGUUGGUAAUUGAGGUACUUAAUGCAGCUCUGGAAAAAUGGGCCCUUCUCAACUUACUAUAAUCAAUUCAGAUGAAUUGGUUGGUCAUCAUUUUUUUUUUCAGAUUCUGGUGUGGUUUGCUCGUUGGCUUAGGCAAAACGAAACUCCAUCAGACAUCAUAAUGAAGUCAAUUUUCUCUCAUCUAAUAGGUUUCCAAGUUCCUUGAUCUUCAUUUUACAUGGACAGAAUAACUCACUAGUUUUUGAUAUGUCAUGCAUUCCUAUGUGUUACUGCUAUAUUUUGUCCAUUUAAGCAAACAGUGUCCUUGUCAUUUUCACUAACACAACACAAAUAACUUAAUGUCACUACAAUUAGUGUAAGGCAAGUGAUUCACAUGUUUUGUUCAAUAUUCAAUUGUAAGUUUAUUGGAUCAUUCACAAUUUGAGGAGGACUAGUUGUCUUAUGGUGCAGUCUCAUUUUGAUUCCACAACUUGUCUUCCUUUUUGAGACAAGCUCUUAUGCAGUGAUUAUUUUGUCCAAUACAAGGAGCAUGAGUUAUGAUUUGUGCUCAAGUUGACUGGUCACUGCAACUCUUCAUCAUAACUCACAUUGUAGUAUGGGAAGACAGUUGUGGGGGAAUUUACACUUUUAGGAUGAGAUUUGACUGACCUGGACUGAGGCAACAGAUACCGAGGUUUGCCAUCCAUCACAAGGAAGAGAUGCAUAAUGUUCUGACAUAUGUCCCCCAAGUAUUGAUUAGUUGAAGAACAUCAAAAUGCUUGAUGAACAUAGCUGGUUCCUUUUUUUCUCCGUUUCUUUUUUUUAAUUUACUCCUUUAUCAGGCAAAGUAACAAGGAUGUUAAGGAAAUGACCUAAUAUUUUCUUUGAUCCUAAUCAAGGAAUUAGUUCUUUGACUAACAAUUCUUGUGAACUUGAAUUAUUUCAGUUAAUCAUUGUAUUUUAUGUUUGGGCAUAAAUUUGGUAAAAGUACUCUUAAUUGUCUCAUUCUUUCUAUUAGCUGCUAUUUACCAUCUCUAUUCCCAUGCACAUUGCCUGAUUCUGGAAUUCUACUGGCAGCUCUUGAGAAGCUGUUGAAAGAUUAUUCUGGAAAGUAUGCUACCGGGGACGAAGUUUUUCUGGUCUGUUUCCUUCUUAUUGCACUUUAUUGCCUGUAUUGAUGCAUGCAAGUUUCUGUUUUUUACUCUGAUAGUGCUAAUAGCAAGUUACGUGGCUAAUAUGACCAUCUUUAGUUUAGAUUCCACAAUUAGCAAUGUAUCUUCUUAAAUAAAUUAGCAGGGUAUCUUCUUAAAUAGAAAUAUGGUGGAUUUGUGCAAGUGAACUUAUUUUGCACUCAGUUCCGUCUCUUUUGCAUUUGGUGACUUGGACCCUGCAUGUUAUUCUCGGUCUGGGAUAACCCAUUUAGCUGAUGUUUAUAUAUGUCUCCACCCAUUUUUCUAAAGGGUAGAUGGGGUUUUUACUUAAGAAAAGUUGGUAUAUUUAGGCCAAUUAAAGCAGCAUAUGAAAGACUUGAGAAAUCAGACCGAGUUUGAGACGACAAAUAAAUUCUAACACCAAUCAGUGCAGGCAAUUUUGGUCUAGAAACUACUCAGUAUUCCCAUCACAAUUCCUGUAGCGUAGCAUUGAAAGGUGCAUUACGGUCUCAAUUUAGUGAAGACUUAGGUGUUGCAUGUCCCCCUCAAUGUCUAGAUAACUUCCAAUUAUUCAACAUGAUGUAUGAAUCUGAUGUCAGCAGUGAGAAUCAUAUUGCAUUAGGUUCCUUGGAGGAGAAAAUGAGGUGGACGUAACUUGGUAAGGUCUGUUCAUGUCAGACUUUCUUGAAGGAUAGACGCUUAGUGAAUUUUUACGGCUAUAACUUCUCAAAUAGAAUUAGAGGUAAUUUUUCUGCUGCUUCUGAUAAGUAUAUCUUCUUUUCCAUUAUUUGCAGGCUGAUUUAUUUCUGGCACCGCAGAUUGAUGGUGCCAUUAGAAGAUUCAAGGUUGACAUGGUAAUCUCCUCAAUGUGUUAUAUUUUGGGUGGCAUUUUAGCUUAGCACUUACCUUUUUCUCUUCUAGUUUCAGUUGAUUACCAACGGCAUAUUUGUUUGCUACUGUGGCGUUAUCAAAGAUCUAUAUUUUGGUUAAUUGCCAAUUGCACUAUUCUGAUUGGAACUAACUUGAAGAUGAUCUUAUUUUUUCAGCUGUUUCUCCAGUUCUGAAUUAACACCUACUUGAAAUUCAUUUUGCAGCUGUUAUGCUGAUUCUUUCUAGCAAUAUGCAUCUUCAAGCUGCUGCUUGACUUUUUCCUUGAGUUUUAUGAAGGAUCCUGACUUUCUAGUUUGUAAUAUGUUUUGUAUGUUAUAGAACGUUUGUAAUUAUCUUUCCUGGGUUUCAUCUGCAUUAUUAGCGGAUUUGUUUCUGUUGUUAAAUUACUCUAAACUUUUAACCGUCUGUAUUCAUAGGAUGAGUUUCCUCUUCUGGCGAGGAUUUUCGAGGCAUAUUUAGAGCUACCUGCAUUUCGGGAUGCUAUGCCAGAAAGGCAGCCUGAUGCACCAGCUGAGCAUCGAGACUGAGGUAUUCAACUUAUUGAUAGAGUAACUGAUUUCUUCUUUUUUAAACCAAACUUUUUCUCAAGAGAAGCAUCUUUGACUGAAGGAAGAGAGACAGAGAAGUAAACUUGACUGGUGAUCCAGCAGUCGCAUGUUAGCUUUUCAGUGCAUCUGAUAUCAGUAGAAUCCUAUAUUUUCCUUUACCUUCUGAGUCUUGCAUGUUUGUCCCCUUGUCUUUUGAAUUCCGAUCAGUCUACUCUUUAACAUGCGUUUGUAUUGCAGCUUUGCUGUUCUUCGUCAGGUAUUCAAUAUGAAAUCCUGGCUUUUUCUUGUAAAUGGCAUGGCAAACAUGGGGUGGUGGAAACAAGAAAUCACGAAAGCAGGAUAAAUAAGUGAUGACCAAUUUCCACUGAUGUCUAUACUCUGUAGACCAUUUCUUUGUACAAAUGUUACUCAUCCAUGUUUGUUUAUUUCCCAUGGCGGACUUGCUUCAUUUCCAAAGAAGAAGUGAACUGACUUCAUCCCAGGAUGCAGCAGUACCUUUGUAAGCAAUACUACUGUGUUUAACUUGUUAUCUAGCAUGUCGUCUUCGACUUGAUAAACCAAGUCAAGUAAAUCAAUGUUUUUUAUUUUUAUUUAAAGCAAGUUAUUGUUGAAUUUUGACUAAGGAGAGCAAGUAAUAAUACCUUAUUCUUUAAAAGAACAGAGAAACAUUUAUUAUUUAUUAUUUUCUCAAUAAGCAGAGGAAAAUAAUCCAAGCUAUACAACGCCUUACAUAUGGCCCAAUUUGUGAAACGAGAAGCUUUCAUAUGUUCCAUAACUUAUUCCAGUUUUUCUCAUUUCAGUUCUCUAAACGGAUAAGAGCUCCAUCCGCCCAUAUUAGGACACGCAUAGUUGAGAUUUUGCUGCUGUUUUUGUGUAUGUUACAUGAAUUUAGUGUAAAUUUUUGUUCAUCUUAUUAAUUCAAUACAUGAGUAAAACUAAUUUUUGUAAGUGUACAUUAAAUCUUGAAAGGAAUAUAACAAUCAUAUCGACUGUACCUAAAAUCUACCAAACAGGCCAACGAUGCAUAUACGAAAAGAUGUGUCGAAUUUGCUUUUGCUUCUUGGUUUCACCUCCUCUUAGCUGGUUGCUAUAACCAUUAAAGGGAUUUUUUCAAAGAAAAAAAAGGCAACAAAAACAAAAGUCCUACUUGAGCAGUUGAGCUUAAUCAAUAUUGUCUAACAACUAUUGACUCUAUGAGUUCUUGCAUCGACUAUGGUUCUGUUUGGAUUCUUCGUUUCUUGAAAAAUAAGUUUUUCAUAUAUAAUGGUACAGUAAUAUAUAAAUAAAAAUAAUUUCAAAAACACUACAUUCAUAUAAUAUAUAAAAAAACUUCAAAUAUAUACAAAAAAAUUAAAAAAUAUACAAAAAAUUUACAUCAUUUUCUUCUUUCAUCUAUCACCACCAUCCCUUCCUUCCUCCAUCCUCUCUUUCCUUUUCUCCUCUCAUCUUCUUCCUCCUCUCCUCCCUUCUCCUUCCAUUUCAUGCCACACCUAUCGAGGCAAUGUAUUAGAGGAGGGGGGAGAGAUGAGAGGGGUGGGGUGUGACAGGAAAGAAUAGGGGAGGAGAGGAGGGUAAGGGAAACGAAGGAGAGGAGAGAGGGAGAAGGAAGAGAGAUAAGCGGGAAGAAAGAGAGGAAGAAGGAGGAUGGAGGUUUGGAGCGGAGGAGGGAGGGAUUGGUGAUGGUGAUAGAUAGUAGUUUUAAUUUUUAAAAAAUAUUUCAAAAUUUUUUAAAUUUUACAAAAGCCUAAAAUAUAUGCCAAAAAUAUUUGUAGUAAAAAUUUUCAUAUAUAUUAGGAAAAUUUGCCAAAUUGGAGAGGAGAGGGAAAUUUUUCAUAUAUAUUCAGGGACAAGACUAUCUACUCUUUACUAUUGCAUGUUUGACUAAGACUCGCUAAACAACAACAGUUGAAUAUAUGAUGACGAUGUUGAUGUUGCGUUUUGUUCCUAAAGGAGAAAAUCUGAUGCAGCAAAUACUUAGUGUCGAUUGAAGAAUCUACUGAAAUACUCACUACUUGCAACUUAAGAAUUAAUAUGAGCAAUAUCUGUGCUUACUGCUUUCUAAAACAUAUAUUAUCUUAUUGGCCAAAAUAUGCAGGUUGAUUUAUUCCUAGCACCCCAAAUUUAUGCUGCCAUUACAAGAUUCAAGAUCGAGAUGGUAAUGUCCCCAAAAGACUGUCUUAUGCCUUGAAGUUUAAGUCUCUAAUUCAAUUUAAUUCUUGACCAGCUGUUUAAUUUUUGGCAUGAGUUUCAUGAAGUAUCCUUAUUUCUAAUGUGCAAAUACAUGCUAUAGUACUUGAUUCAUAAACUUUUGUGGUGAAGUCAUUGAUCAGCUGCUUAACUUUUACCAUUAGUUUCAUGAAGGAUCCUUCCCUUCCAAUCUUCAAAUAUAUAGCUUCUAUUAUGAGAAGAUCGAAUUAUUUGUCCUACAUGUUAGCUGCAUUAUAACGAGUUAGCGUUAUAUGUUCUUUCUGUUAUCAAGUGAUUCAUGGCUUAUUGAACUUUUUGUUUCUUAGGAUGAGUUUCCUCUUCUAUCAAGGUUGUUUGAGGCAUACAUAGAGCUACCUGCUUUCCAAGAUAAUAUUGUUGAUUUUUUGGGGCAUAAACUAAGAAACAACACUUUAGUGUUGCAAAAAAAACUUAUAAGAGACUUGUAUUAAAGGUAGAAAAUGAGCUUAUGUUCUACAUUCAUCAACUCACUAUUUAUAGUGAUUACAUGAAAUAAACUAGCAAAAUAUCCAACUAACAAUUAUUCUAAAAAUCUCAACAAAAUAUAAUCUUCUACUACUAACAAAUCUUAGCUAAUAUAUUUGUUAACAACCCAACAUGAUAUUUGAUUAACAAAUAUCCUUAUUUUCUAAUAACUAAAUUAUUUUGAUAUCAAAUCCAAUCUGAUAAAAUCUGUAGGAAAAGUUGGCAUAUCUCAACACUCCUCCUUGCCACUUUUGCUGCAGAUUUUCAAUUGCCUUCUCAAAUAUUUGAACCUUGUUUUAGACAAGGCUUUCAUAAAAAUGUCUGCAAUUUGGCCAUCAGUCUUGCAAUGUUUCUUGAGCCAAACUUCAAAAUUAAUACCAAUUUUUUCGAUGUAUUCAAAUGAUUUCUUUGCAACUUGAAAGUGGAACUCCCAUACGUAAUAGAUGAACCUGAAGAAGAAAUUCACAAUACAAAAAAUGAUUGCUAUGAGAGACAUAAAACAAUCCUUCAAAUUUUUGUAUAGCCUUUUAUCAGCUAUGUCACCAUCAUCAUCCUUGGGUAGCAUUUCAUGAAUUUUCACAAUGUAACCUCAUUCAAUUGCCUCAUCAGUGAUCUCCUCUUGAAUUUUAGCAACAUCUGAAUUUUUUGGUUCACCAUACUGCACCUUAGAAUUGUCAAUUUUUGACAAAUUCAAAGCAAAAUUUUUGCCUCUCAUUUUCACUGAGAAAAGUUCAUUUCGAACUGGAUUAUGUAUAACACAGGUCCUAUUUUUGAAGAUGAUAGAAUAAUUCUUCUCCAAUAACUGUCCAACACUUAACAGAUUUUGAUUAAUUUCAAGUACAUACAAAAUAUUAGAAAUAAUUUUGGUACCUGAACCAUAAUCAAUAGCAACACUACAUUUGCCUUUCACCUUAAUAUAAUCUCCAUUUCCAAUUCUGACUUUGGAGAUUUGCGAUUUAUCAAAUUUCCUAAAUAUAGAUUCAUCAUAUGCCAUGUGAUGAGUGCAACCACUGUCUAUUAGCCAAGUUUCAGUAUUGAAAUUAUUGCUUGCAAAACAUGUGGCCAUGAAAAGUUGCUCCUCAUCUUGUUCAUCAACCAUCUGAGCGUGAUGUUCUCUUUUUCCUUUAUUUUUGCAAACUCUCUCCAUAUGCCCCAUUUGCUUACAAAAUCUACAUUGAAUGUCAGGUCUAAACCAACAACAUAUUGAAAGAUGUGAGGUUUUCUUACAGUGUGGACACAGAGGAUUUCUGCCAUUUUUUUUCUCAUAUUUGCUAUUUUUUCUUGAUCAUUUCUUUCACCUUGUCGAAUUUGAUCAUUGUUUAUUGCUUGAAAAGCAUCUUCAAUGACUUCUUCAGUUCUUAUGACUCGUCUUUGUUCUUGUGCCUCUAGAGCAUUGAUCAAUUCUAGCAAGGUCAUCCGAGAGAUCUCUUGAAUCUUCAAGAGAGCAAAUCUUGGCUUCAAACUCACCAAGACUUUCUCCACAACUCUGCUAUCUGAAAGUUGUUCUCCAAUCAAUCUGAUUUUGUUCACAACAUUUAAGAGUCUGUCAGAAUACUCUUUAAUAUUUUCUUUGUCUUUCAUCCUAAGGAGUUCAAAUUCUCUCCUAAGGUUCAAAACUUGCAUCUGUCUUGUUCUGUCAUUGCCUUGAAAAAUCACUUUGAGAGCAUCCCAAGCUUCUUUUGCAGUUUCACAAGUCAUAAUUUUUGUGAAUACUGCAUCAGAAAUUGCUGAAUGAAUGCAAGUCAUGGCUUUUGAUCUCCUUUUGACUGCAUCUCUAUGGGCUCUCAUUUCUGUAAUAGUUGGAUCUUCUGACAAUUCAGGAACAUGAUCUGUCUCUACCACAUUCCAAAGAUCAUUAGCAUCCAAAUAGGACUUCAUUUUGACAGCCCAGAUUUGGUAAUUUUCACCAGUGAAACUUGAAGGAUUGGACAAUAAGUUGUUUCCUGGCAUUUUGAUGUUGAAGGCUUAAGUGUGAAAAAGGAAUUCUCACCAGAUUCACUCACUUUUAAAGAAACAGACCCUUAAGAUUUAGACUCUUGAUACCACUUUGUUGGUUUUUUAGGGUAUAAACUAAGAAACAACACCUUAAUGUUGCAAAAAAAAACUUAUAAGAGACUUGUAUUAAAAGUAGAAAAUGAGUUUAUAUUUUACAUUCAUCAACUCACUAUUUAUAGUGAUUACAUGAAACAAACUAGCAAAAUAUCCAACUAAUAAUUAUCUUAAAAAUCUUAACAAAAUAUAAUCUUCUACUACUAGCAAAUCUUAGCUAAUAUAUUUGUUAACAAUCCAACAUGAUCUUUGCUUAACAAAUAUCCUUAUUUUCUAAUAACUAAAUUAUUUUGAUAUCAAAUCCAAUCUUAUAAAAUCUGUAGGAAAACUUGGCAUAUCUCAACAAAUAUGCCAGGAAAACAGCGUGAUACACCAGCCGUGCAUUGAGUCUGAGGCAUUUUACCUAUGCUGCUAACAGGUCACUCUAUUGUCUAUUCUGAUCUCUGUCUCUCUUUGGUAUCUCUUUUUAUGCCAAAAUAAACAAAAUGUUUCCCAAAAGGGGGAAAUAAUGAUGACGUACUCAGUUUUGUUGAUUACAUGGAAAAUGCAGAAUGUCGAUAUCCAUCUGCUGGCUCUAAGUCUUUAUCAAAUGAGACAUAAUCUUCGAGAUGAAGUGCAUGGGUCGUCCUUGGCCACUUACCCGUUAUCACAUUGUUAAAAAAAAAAAAAGUGUUAUCAUUGUUUGUUGCCAUUGUUUGAAUUGUAUUGUGGAGUAUUACAGUUUUCCACUUUGUUUUAAUUAAAAAAAAUUGGAAUUUGACUUAUUGGUACUGUUUAUUUCUCUUUUGAUGCACUUGACAUCUCCUCCAUACAUUUUCAUUGUGUUUGAUUGCUUGCUUCUUUUUUUUUGAGGGAGAGGGGGGACUUCCUAGUCAAAUGUGCAUGCAGAUGGCUAAAACAAAUGAAUAGAUUAGAAAACAAGUAAAUUAUAUAUAUAUAUAUUGAUAGUGUAUAUACUAUCACUGUUGAAUUCAUAGAAUACGUGUAAAAGUUGAAUUUCAAAUUCAAAUUUUAUAUAAUUUAUCAUUCAUCUAAUGCUGAUAGUGUAUAGAAGAUUAAUUUUUUUAAAAAAAUGAAAUAUCAGUGAAUAAAAUCAAACAUUUCAACAUUAGUCUAAUCAGGAAAUCAGAUUUCACUUCUCAAUCGCUGGACAAAAUGAAAUAUUCCAAAUGCCCAGAGCAGCAAUAUUUUGAUCACGGAUAAAAACCAAAAGGUCUAAAAAUUUCCCUUCUUCCUCCCCCACCUCAACCCAUCACCACUUCUGCUGGUCCGUUGCCAGCCAACACCGACUGGCAUCUCUUCUGUGUCAGUUCCGACGCUAGCCACCUUUUUCGGCAUCAAUAGAGGGGGUUUUUUUUUUUUUUUUCUCUUUUUCCUCCCUCUCCCUUUCCCUCCCUUCUCACCAGCUUCCUCUCUGCCCCCCAUUCCUUCCCCGUCACCCCUCCCUAUCCGUCACGCAAUCUAUGGGGGAAGGAAGAGGCGGCGGCUGAGAGAGGAGGGGAGGGGGAGAAGGAGGGGAAGAGGAAGGAGGAGAGGGAAAAGGAGAGGAAGAAGAGAAAAAAAAAAAAGAAUGCCUGUUGCUGCCGGUGGGGGUGGCUGGCUAGUGGUGAUGUGAGAGAGAAGGAGAGGAGAAUAAAGAAAAAAAAGAAAAAAGAAACAAAAGGUUUCAAUCUUAAAAUUUUUUUCUACAAAUUCUAUAGUAAGUUACAGUAAAUUUUUAAACAAGCGCCUAAAAAACCCCCGUUUGGUAAGUGAGUUUUUUAGGUGUUUGUCUAAAAUUUUAUUGUAACUUAUUAUAGAAGGUGUAGAAAAAAAUUUUAAAGUAUGUAAAUUUUUUAAUAUUUUGAAGCGUAUAAUUAAAAUUUUGAAAAUUUUUUUGAAAUUACUGUAGUUAAAGUUAUUAAAAAACUUGUAGUAAAUAAAUUUGGCAAAAAACUUGCUUACCAAACAAGGCCAAUCAGGGUCCAAAUUUUGCAGAGAUUGGGGUGGAAUGUCGUACUCCGUCUACAGCAUAUAGUAGUGUUUAUCUAGUAGAGGCCUGGGAUAUAAACUGAUCCUCAAGUAACAAACCAUUUUUUGUCCAAUAAGCACAAUACUUUAUUUGGACCUAGAGCAUUUAGCAGCGUCGAGAAUUGGUCCAUUCACUUAACCCACGAUCCACUGCCACAAGCGAUUUGGUCCAGUGGGCAAGAGUCCAAUCCUUCCUAUUUUGUUCAACUCCCAAGAUUUUGCUUAUUUCUUCCUAUUUUGUAAAUCUCUCUUGAACUUAAAAAAAAAAAAAAAAAAAGAAGUUUGCUGAGAUGGUCUUGGUCUACAAUUUACAAAUCAAGGUUGAGUAUCUUGGAUCGAGAAGUCUUGGGUCCAAGUCCCACCAAAUUAUGAGUUUAUUUGAAUUUUAUGUUGGUUUUGUCUCAUUGAGUUUUGGAUUAGUUGUAAACUUGUAAUUUGAAUCGGUUGUAAUUCAUUGAAUUAAUACUAUAAUUGUGGGUUAUAUAUAAGUAAUUUCAAGCUUUAUUUAGUUGAUUAGCUCUUCUACUUUCUUACUCCCAGGUCUUGUUUAACUCUCAAACUUUCCUCAAUCCCAAAUUCCCUUUCAUUUUGUGAGUAAACCCAAAACAUAAAAUAUAAAAAAUAUUUGACCAUAAAAUAUUCCUUGUUCAACCAGAGAAAAAAAAAAAGAAAAGUUUUCAACCUAUUCAAUAUGUAUAAUUUUUAAAAAAAAAAAUUUUCGUUUGGAUUAACUAUUUUUUAGAGUGUUUUUGGUAUUUUUGAGAUUAUUUUUGGUGUUUUUAAAGUUGUUUUUGAUAUUUUUAUUUAUGUAUUAUCGUAGCAUUAUAUAUGAAUAUUUGUUUUUCAAAAAAUGAUCAAUCCAAACGCAGCCUUCGAGUGUUAAAGAGAAAAAAAAAAAUCUCGACCCAACUAUACAGAGUACUAGUGUAGUACUAGGUACUAAGACUCUUUUUCUUUUUUGAGGGAACAGGAAAGGAGGGAAAAUAAAAGAAAUGAAACGGAGGAGUAAAAUUUUUAAUGUUUGACUAGUUUUUCAGAAGAAAAAAAUGAAAGGAUAAGGACGAAGAGGACAGGAUACGAGGAAUUUCUUGUCAGCCGGCUUUUUUGUCCAAAAGUGAACAGAAACAGAGAAAAAUAAUACCAAAAUUUAUAAAAAUUGUAAAAUUUCUUAGAAAACUCAUUACUGUGUGUUUAUAAAGUGGACUUUUUAAAUUAUGGAUAAAAAGAUGGGUUUGAUGGUGUAAACAAGUCCACAAAUUCUCAUUCUCGUCAGGCUUUGGUUUCGAGUCCACUCCAUACUUUCAACUUCUUCUUCAUCGUUAUCAUCAUAUUCAUGGUUAGUAACAUAUUGCUCUCUCUAUCUUAUUUCUGGAAUUUAAUCCAAAUUUCGUAUCAAUAUUGUUUUUUGGAAAAAAAAAAAAAUUGGGUUGCAGGCCGGAGAGGAGUCAAAGAAACUGAAGCUCUACUCGGACUGGCUGAGCUCUUGCGCUUGCCGCGUUCGCAUCGGUCUCAACUUGAAAGGUUCUCCUCAUUGAUUCCUGCGCUUUUUUUUUCGCUGCUUUUAUUUGAUUUUUAAUGAUAAUCCUCCUUUUUCUUGAUUGAUUCCCAAAAAAUCAAUGUGGUGGAUAUUUAAUUGAAAUUGAAUAUAAAAAAAAUAUGAGUAUAUGCAUCAGGAUUAGAGUACGAGUACGUGCCAGUGAACUUGCUGAAAGAAGAACAACAGACUCCUGGUUAGCCACCCUCUUCCACUCUUUCUCCUAUCUGUAAUUUUUGUGAUUAAUUAUGUUAUUCCUGGUAAUAUGCUAAGGUACUGUUAUAAUCGGCUUCAAUGAAUAUUAGUUCCUUAACAAUCUGAUCAUCAACUUCGUUCCAUAUACGAUUUACUUUUUAAGCUAUUUGCAUAACUAAGUGGUGGAACACAGAGAAAAUGUAAUGAAUGUAUGUCUGUCUUUUUUUUUUGUUUGGGGGGGGGGGUAAUUAAGGAGGGUCAGUGAUAUCAUUAUUGUUUUCUGGUGCACUAACACAGGGAACGAAGUGAAUGUUUGGUGUGGUUUUAGACCAUUAGUAUCAUUUCGAAGGAUUUCUGCUUAUUCUGCAAUAAUUUUAUCUGGUGCAAAGAAAAAAAAUCUAACACUUUAACUGAAAAUGCAGAGUUUUUGAAGCUUAACCCUGUUGGGUUUGUGCCCGUGCUGGUCGAUGGUGAUGUAGUACUUGCAGACUCUUUUGCCAUCUUGAUGGUGGGCAUCUUGUUUGAUUUUAUGCAUCCAGUUGGCUGUAUAAUACCCAGUUCUGAUGCUAGCGUGUGCCUUUUCUAUGCAGUAUCUUGAAGAAAAGUUUCCUCAGCAUUCCUUGUUACCUAAGGAUCUUCAUGGAAGGGGUAUCAACUACCAGGUAUAGGAGUUACAGGAUAUACUGCUUGCCAAUUCACCACUAUAUUAAAGACUUUAAUUUUAUUUUAUUUUUGGCAUAAAAAAGGUGUGGUAUAUAGCUGGUUAAUGAUCUUAUGUUUGCCGGUCAAUUCGUUAUCUAGUCACUGCUUUCUUUAUUUCGUCACUGUAAAGCAAAUGCUAAUCUUGUGGGAAUUCUUCUACCAUUAUUGACUUAUGACUAAUUUUAUGACUCAUAAGAUCUUGACAUCUUGUUGGAACAUUAUGUCACUCCUUUCGACUGUUUUCUGCCCCUGCUAACCUGGAGUGGUCUUGUUCAUUUUAAGAAUAUGGAUACAAAGUUUUACCCUGGCUCGUCUUAUAAUCUCAAGUCAUUUGGGAGAAAUUUGCCCAUUAAUGUUCAAGUAACUAGAAGGAUCAGCUACGUUGAUCUUAUGGUUGACUUCCCCUGCAACAGAGAUAGUUUUUCAAGUUAUAUAGACCCCACUUUGUGAUCUGAGAUGGGUUGCUCAAAUUAUACCUAUUAUAUGGAGAGGGUGGAACUUUUUUAAGGUCAAUGGAAUUGGGAUAGACAGUCUAUACAAACGUAAGCUGCCACUCAUGAGACUUUUUCAUGUUUGCUAGGGUUGUCCUUUAACUCAAUGCUGGUGCUGGUAUAUGCUUUGAGAUUUUUGGUUUGGUUGGAGUAGCUUAUUGUUUCCCCAAAAAAAAAAAAAGGAGUUGAAACUUAAAUUACCUAUAUGUAAAGUAUGAGAGGUUGUUUUCUAGUUUAAGGUGUAAAUACUUAUUCUUGUGUAUGUGUUUUCU
rnacentral:lncRNA from 1 species